rnacentral:rRNA from 1 species
UACAGAGGUCCCAAGCGUUGUUCGGAUUCACUGGGCGUAAAGGGUGCGUAGGUGGUCGGGUAAGUUUGAUGUGAAAGCUCUGGGCUCAACCCAGAAAUGGCAUUGAAUACUAUCCAACUAGAGGAGUGGAGGGGGGACUGGAAUACUUGGUGUAGCAGUGAAAUGCGUAGAUAUCAAGUGGAACACCAGUGGCGAAGGCGAGUCCCUGGACACUUCCUGACACUGAGGCACGAAAGCUAGGGGAGCAAACAGG